GGGCGGUUAGCUCAGCCGGUUAGAGCGCCUGCCUUACAAGCAGGAGGUCCGCAGUUCGAUCCUGUGACCGCCCACCA
rnacentral:tRNA from 1 species